rnacentral:rRNA from 1 species
GAUGAACGCUGGCGGCGUGCCUAACACAUGCAAGUCGAGCGGAAAUUUUGUGAAGUACUUGUACGACAUGAAAUUUUAGCGGCGGACGGGUGAGUAACACGUGAGCAAUCUGCCUGCUGCAGGGGAAUAACAUUGUGAAAACAGUGCUAAUACCGCAUGAUAUCCGACUGGGGCAUCCCGGUUGGAUCAAAGGAGUAAUCCGGCAGAAGAUGAGCUCGCGUCCGAUUAGCUAGUUGGUGAGGUAAUGGCUCACCAAGGCGACGAUCGGUAGCCGAACUGAGAGGUUGAUCGGCCACAUUGGGACUGAGACACGGCCCAGACUCCUACGGGAGGCAGCAGUGGGGAAUAUUGGGCAAUGGGGGAAACCCUGACCCAGCAACGCCGCGUGAAGGAUGAAGGCCUUCGGGUUGUAAACUUCUUUGAUCAGGGACGAAUAAAUGACGGUACCUGAAGAACAAGCCACGGCUAACUACGUGCCAGCAGCCGCAGUAACAC